CUAGAGGCUAGAGGUUAACUGGUCCAGAGACUAGAGCUUAACUGGUCCAGAGACUAGAGGAGCUUAACUGGUCCAGAGACUAGAGCUUAACUGGUCCAGAGACUAAAGGGUUAACUGGUCCAGAGACUAGAGGGUUAACUGGUCCAGAGACUAGAGGGUUAACUGGUCCAGAGACUAAAGGGUUAACUGGUCCAGAGACUAGAGGGGGUUAACUGGUCCAGAGACUAGAGGUUAACUGGUCCAGAGACUAGAGGUUAACUGGUCUAGAGACUAGAGGGUUAACUGGUUAGGGUAAACUGGUCUAGAGACUAGAGGGUUAACUGGUUAGGGUUAACUGGUCCAGAGACUAGAGGUUCACUGGUCUAGAGACAAGAGGGUUAGCUGGUUAGGGUUAACUGGUCCAGAGACUAGAGGGUUAACUGGUCCAGAGGCUGGAGGUUAACCGGUCCAGAGACUAAAAGGUUAACUGGUCCAGAGACUAGAGGUUAACUGGUCCAGAGACUAGAGGGUUAACUGUUAGGGUUAACUGGUCUAGAGACUAGAGGGUUAGCUGCAUAGGGUUAACUGGUCCAGGGACUAGAGGGUUAACUGGUUAGGGUUAACUGGUCCAGAGACUAGAGGGUUAACUGGUCUAGAGACUGGAGGGUUAACUGCUCUAGAGACUAGAGGGUUAAACUGGUUAGGGUUAACUGGUCCAGAGACUAGAGGGUUAACUGGUCUAGAGACUACAGGGUUAACUGGUUAGGGUUAACUGGUAUAGAGACCAGAGGGUUAAACUGGUUAGGGCCAACUGGUCUAGAGACUAGAGGGUUUAACUGGUUAGGGUUAACUGGUCUAAAGACUAGAGGGUUAACUGGUCUAGACACUAGAGGGUUAAACUGGUUAGGGUUAACCAGUCUAGGGACUAGAGGGUUUUAUAUAGCAGAUGUUGUGUUCUAAAAUUUGUUUUGUUGUUGUGUUGGUGUGUUGUGUUGUUGUGUGGUCGUGGGGUUGCGUUGUUUUGCGGUCAAGUUGUGCGGGGCUAAAGUCUGUUGUGUUAUCGUGUGGUUGUGUCGUUGUUCUGUUGUUGUGUUGUGGUCCAGUGGU